UGUUGAACUGAAGAGAAGAUGGAGCUUGUACAAUGAUAGGGCAAGCUCUAGAAGAUGUCCAGAAGAGUUCAAUCAAGCUUCAGAAGUGUUCUGAAGUAGUUAUCUUGUGAAGAUAAGUCCAGGAGGGACUUAGACUGAUCAGAAGAAGGAGGAAGAGUAUUGGGCAUAAAUAGGGCGAGUGGUACGGACAGGAGAUCCGUACCAUCGACCGUACGACCACACCUCUCGACCACACAUCCGGGAAACUCACCAGAAGCUGUGCAAACUUAGGGCGUUGGUUUCCAAGAGCAAUCAGACGACCUUAUCUUCUUUGUGACUGUUGGAAAGCAAGGGAAAGGAGAGAGGGCGUGGUCCAAGGACAGCCUGUCAUGAGAUGUAAAGGGAAAGCAAGUUGGACCAUGAAUCUAGACACAUAUGUGAGUAAAGGUUCAUGGGAGCCUUAGCAUAACCAAUCAGGCAGCAGCUCCUCUCCACCAAUCAGCUACCAUCUCGUGCUCCCUUUGACCAGAAACAAGACUACAUCCAAGCCAUCCAUUUCUCAAGUCAUUUCUAUCCAUUAGAUUAAGGGUUUAUGAUUGCAAAGUGUAAAAGCCUAUAUAAGGCAUUGUUGUGAACGUUUUGUAACUCCUAAGGGAGUAAGGGGGAUUUCCCCUCUCCACUUCAUAAAUGAUAAACUUGUUCUUGAAUCUCAAACCCUAAUCUCUAAUCUCUUAUUCUCCUAAUCUCUCAGUCUCUUAAUCUUUGUUCCUAAGUCUCUUAUUCUCUCAUAAACACUCUCAUCAAUCUCUCUUCAUAAAUCACCUAGAACAAGCUCUCAUCUUUCUCCAUUGGAGUAUUCACGCACACAUACAACAAGAGAAGAGAACUCUACAAAUCUCAUAUGGUAUCAGAGCCAGGUUCAUCAGAACCUGAGCUGAAGCUUCCGCAAGUCCACAGCUCACGCCUCAGCUCAAAACCAAACCAUUGAUGCUUUCCCAUCCAGUUCAGUCCCUUAUGAAGAAGAAGGCUGAAGCUUGGCGAGUUCCCUUGGUUCCUCAUCCUGUUCUCUACCUGCUCAGAUGGAGAUUAUCCUUGGAGGCAAAGGUGUAUGGAGAGGCCUAACUAACCUGACUCCAAAGCUCCUUGUCCAAGAGAAGUUCCACAUCAGGCUAAAAGAGUAUGGUGCCAAGAGCUUGGCGCCUAGAUGUUCUGAAGAAAGGAGGGGUCUUUUGAGUUGAUGGUACAAGAUGGUGGCCAUGAACUGAAGGAGAAGGAGGUGGGUGAUGAUCUAGACUCUCAGUUCCAACAACAGUCAUGGCCGUUUUCACAAAAUGCAAAAGGAAUCAACCUGGUUCCUUGUUGUAAGCAAUUCUAUAAACCAUCUUGAUAAUGAGCUUGUGUUGUUGACUGGUUGUGAUGUUGUGAUGUGAUUGAAAACCUGAGGACUGUUUAAAAGAUUACUAAAUGAAAUAAAAUGAAUUUAGAAUCUGUCCCAGGAUGCUUAAAGAGCUUGGUUCCCUAGUAAUCCUUUAAGUGUACUAGUUAUACUAAGUUUACUAGCAGUUGUGUAAGCGCUUUAAAAGGACUAGUAAUUUAACAGUAUUACUAGGAUUACUAGGUAUGUUAAUAUGCUUAUCUCCGGUUCAUAAUGAUGCUUGUUGUGAUUGAUUGAAUCUGCUUGCAUACAUGGAUUGAAACCGAAUUGAAAGCUGUUGCAUAUAGUCUUGUGGCUGUCUUACAUUGAAGCAUUAGAUUCAUGUCUAAAUGCUGAGUAAAGAAGCUUUAAAAUGCCUAAGUAGCUUGCAUAAACUGAAAAAGAAAAUGCUUGUGCUUAGAGAGAUUGCUUGCAAAGAUAGAACUUGAAAAUGACUUGUUUUAAUUCGUUGCAAUGCUUGUGAGAUUGGGAAUCAAACUUGAUGAUUAAUCAAGGAUUGAUCCCAAUACUCUUGUGUCUUAUCCUUGCUGGAGUUUGAGUGGUGUUUCAGGUUCACAAGAAGUGUUCUCUGCUCACCUCCUAUCCAAGACAAGAGGAAGACUUGAACCAUUGUGUGGAGCAAUGGGAAGAUACUUGUGUGUAGAAGCUGGUUUAAGAAGCGCAGGCCACGAGGUUGUUGAGCUCCUGGUUCAAGACAUACAAGCGGAAGACCAACCAUUGUGUGGAGCAAUGGGAAGGUUCUUGUGUGUAGAAGCCGGUUUAAGAAGCGCAGGCCACGAGGUUGUUGAGCUCCUGGUUCAAGACACACAAGAAGAAGAAGGUCACCACCUAAGCCAUGAGGAAGGCCGGUGAUCUGAGGGUACUUGAAGCUAAAGGCAAAAGGGUGGAUCAGUGAUUUAAGCGCAGCUGUUAGGGUGAUGUGCUCCUGGUCUUGAAGUUCAUUGAGGCUCAUUUCAAGCUUGGAUCUCACCUAUUCUCGGUCUCAAGCUUGCGGUGCUAAAUAUUCAAAUGAGCAACCUGAAGAGCUAAAGUUCAAGACCUGUUUCCUCCUUAUCAUUACAAUAGAAUGAUAAAAUGAAGCCUGUUGCCAACAUUCUGUGGGAAGUCCACAGCCUGCUCCAAAGAGGGUAGAGAGGAUGUUGUGACAAUGGAGAGAUGACUUGUUGUUCUGUCCAUGGUGGUUCAGUCACCAUAGCCUACACAUCAGAUGAGUGUAGAGAGGACAGUUGACAUACAAAGAAGAGCAUCACCAGGAGGGUGAGGCAAUUUAAACCAAGACCAUCUGGUCACGCAUGGUAAAGACAGCUCUAGGAGGGAGAGGCUUAUGGAGCCAUUGCCUCACGGAUGCUCCAAAGCUCUCCAAGGCUGCCGGUUCAAAUGAAAGCUCAGCAGAUGGUGAAUCCGGUUCCAAAUCCGUAUCUGAGGAGAAGUGGGAACAAGAAGACCUCAAGGUCUUAUCCAUUCUCCAUAGCUCAAUGUCUCCAUCCAUCCUUGAAGCAUACUCAUACUGUGAGAGUGCUAAAGACCUUUGGAGUACACUUAACAAGAUAUAUGGGUACAUCUCCAACCUCUGUCGAGUAUUUGAGAUCAAGAAGUUCAUCAACAUCCUAUCCCAAGAAGAUGAGGAGUUCACUGUGCAUCUAGGCAAGUUCAGAGCCCUUUGGUCUGAGCUAGAGAUGCUUAGACCCCAAUCUGUUGAUCCGGAGGUGUUGAUUGAAAGAAGGGAGCAAGACAAGGUGUUUUGCCUAUUACUCGCCCUUAGCCCUGCCUACAGCGCCUUGAUUCAACAUAUCUUGAGGUCUGAGAAGCUCCCAACACUUGAAGAAGUGUGUUCCCACGUCCAAUAGGAACAAUCGGUGUGAACAUUGCAAGAGGGAUGGGCACACCAAGGAGAGGUGUUGGAUAUUGAAUCCAAGCCUCAAACCUGCCAAGUUCAAGUGAACCGUGCCCAUGGAGGUUCAAGAGAUCAGCUCGGAUCUCUUGUUUGUAAGCAAACCUCCUAACCCUUAGAAAUUGUCUAAGUUGCUUGCCUCAUUGGUCUUGAUUAAUAUGUCUCAUGGAUUGAACCUGUUGCAUUCAUAUAGUUAAUGCUUUAGGAUUGUGCAUUCAUGUAUUGAUGCAUUUAAAAAUAAGCCUAAAUUGUCAAUGUAUUGUUUAAAUCUUGCAUUGUCAUUUUAGAGAUUGAAACCUGCUUGUUCUGCCUUGAUUGAUUGGCUUGUUUCAAGGUUUAUAUUCUGCUGUGGCAUUGGUGAUCAAACAGGAUAAAUUAUCUUGGUUUGAUCCCAAUGGGAUGAUCUGAUCUUGCAUUGAGUUGUGGUGGUGUUAGGUACACAAGGAAAGUGAUACAUGUAACUCGCCAACAGCUAAGAAUGUAGUGACAAAGGUCUUGUGCCAUUGCAUAUCAUCACUAGGACAUGUUAGUCCAUAAUCUACAGGAAGUGUAGUGUGAUUGAUAAUGCAUGAGAGAUGGCCAUUGCAUAAUACCAUUGGACAUAUCCAGUCCAAAGACUACAGGAAGUGUAGCAUGGGUCAUUAUGCAAUGAGAAGUGUGUUUUGUGAGACUCUCUAUGGUGAUUCAAACACCCUAGUUCCUGGUUAAGGAAGAGAGUAAACUCACAAGAAGAAAGCUAUCAUGAAAGAUGAUAGUUAUUAGACCAUGGAGAUGCAUAGGAUCAUCACAAGCUUAGCUCCUUCUAGUUUCGGUUCUAAGCUUGAGGGGGAGUCUUAAUGCAUAUGAUCCAUGGUCAGUAACAAGUCUUUUGCAAAAGCUUCUACAAGGAUCAUCAACCGGACCAAGUCAGUGGCGUGUCUAGGCAAGAGGCUGUUCAGAGCAGCCUUGGCGAGUGAAGAGGAAGGCUCUCCAUCAAUGCGGCUUCAAUGAGAGGUGAUUGAGGAGAAGCUGAUGAAUCCAUUCUGCCUUUCCAAGAAGUUGAUGAUGCCAUGAAGAUGGUGCAUUGAGAGAGUUUGGAAACUCACAAAAACACAAGGGAAGUUCCCUUAGACUUUUAAAACUCUUUUCAAUCUAUUUCAUUCAUCUUAUUCAUUGCUUGUGCUUGAAAAGAUACUUAAGAUGAUUAUGAUUGAAUUGUGAGAUUGUGUGCAUCAAGUGUGAUGCAGGAUAUUCAUUUUCUUGUUUUUGAUAGGUACUGAUGCACCUUUGGGAUAAUGUAUCAGGUACCAUUGCUUGAGCCUCACUAAAGAUGUUCCUGGUCAGUUCCUAGCUUCUCUAAGAUGGCUGAGAAGUCUGUUGAGAGGGGGAGAUCCAAACCAGUUCUAUGAAGAGGGCAAGCCGUGUGUGAAGUGUUGAUCAGCCUCACUAGUGUUUUGAAGAUGAUCUGGUCGUGUCCUAGCUUCUCUAAGAUGGCUGUGAAGUCAGUUGAGAGGGGGAGACUUCAAACCGGUUCCAUGAAGAGGUGAAGCUGAAGUGUGAAGUGUGCGCAAAGCUGUGAAGAGUUGCUGCACCUGUUAGGCCGUGAUCCAGAGCUUCUUGUGUCCAACCACACUGGUUCUAAGGCACAAGAGUUCACUGGCCAAUCCCUAGGCUUUGGAGAGCUCUACUCUUUUUCCCUUACAAGGUUUUGUCCCAAUGGGUUUUCCUUGUAAGGUUUUUAAUGAGGGAGACUCUUCAGAGUUCCAAGCUUGGCUUAGGAUCUCCUAAAGUCAAGCUUGAGGGGGAGUGUUGAACUGAAGAGAAGAUGGAGCUUGUACAAUGAUAGGGCAAGCUCUAGAAGAUGUCCAGAAGAGUUCAAUCAAGCUUCAGAAGUGUUCUGAAGUAGUUAUCUUGUGAAGAUAAGUCCAGGAGGGACUUAGACUGAUCAGAAGAAGGAGGAAGAGUAUUGGGCAUAAAUAGGGCGAGUGGUACGGACAGGAGAUCCGUACCAUCGACCGUACGACCACACCUCUCGACCACACAUCCGGGAAACUCACCAGAAGCUGUGCAAACUUAGGGCGUUGGUUUCCAAGAGCAAUCAGACGACCUUAUCUUCUUUGUGACUGUUGGAAAGCAAGGGAAAGGAGAGAGGGCGUGGUCCAAGGACAGCCUGUCAUGAGAUGUAAAGGGAAAGCAAGUUGGACCAUGAAUCUAGACACAUAUGUGAGUAAAGGUUCAUGGGAGCCUUAGCAUAACCAAUCAGGCAGCAGCUCCUCUCCACCAAUCAGCUACCAUCUCGUGCUCCCUUUGACCAGAAACAAGACUACAUCCAAGCCAUCCAUUUCUCAAGUCAUUUCUAUCCAUUAGAUUAAGGGUUUAUGAUUGCAAAGUGUAAAAGCCUAUAUAAGGCAUUGUUGUGAACGUUUUGUAACUCCUAAGGGAGUAAGGGGGAUUUCCCCUCUCCACUUCAUAAAUGAUAAACUUGUUCUUGAAUCUCAAAC
rnacentral:lncRNA from 1 species